GUAUACUCAACAUUCAUUUUUGUGCUGAGUUCCCACGUGCCUAAUUUCAAACGAUCUGACUCCUAAUUGUUGAUGUCUGUGAAAUCAUUUCAAGAGCAGCAGAUGAGAUCUGUCUCAUUAGGGAUACAGAGUGGCUUGGCUCCUUUCUCUCCCUGGAGCCCAGGACUACAACACAGUGAAUACAUUCAUAAGCAGAAGACUUCAAUGUAAUUUGAUCUGUUCUAGAAGAAGUUGCAAAACAUUCACGUUGGUUUUUGAGGAAGGAGUUUUUUUAUUUUCAAAUCUUGCAGUUACGUGAGAAACAAAUCUGUGCAGAGUUGUUUGACAGAAGAUUCAG